CUCCAUCUCUUUCAGUGUCUGCCCACUCACUUCGGAGGGUGGCAGGACAAACAGCCCUGGGCCACUACUGUACCCUAUCCCAAGCCUGUGUGUCUACACUGUGCUCUGUGUCUCCAGUGGGGCCAAGGCUCACUUCAGCUCAACUCCUGGACUAGCUGGAAAGGCCUAGAAGCCAAGUGCUUUUGUCCUUACCUUGUCUCUUUGUGUCCACCUCUCAGGUAGGAGAUGGAGCAGUGACUUUAGUGAUACAGGAUGCUGGCUGAGGGAGCAAACUGGGCCAGGAGGCACCAUACCUCUCUUCCUGGGAGCCCAGUUGUACUCUAGGUGCUGGGCUCCCAGCUAGAUGCAACUCGCCAGUCCUGCUGAUUACUGCUUCUGGUGUUCCUGAUGGUGACUUCCAACACGGUCGUCCAGCCUUCCAUCCCCCCAGCAAAGAACCUUCUGGUUACUCUGUGGCCUUAGGACCCAACCCUAGGAGCCUCUGCUGUCUGAAUCCUCCUCUGUCCAUCCCCAGAGCACAGCCUCCUCAGGGAAGCUCUCCAGUCAACAGGCACAGGUCCUUCUUUGGAGGACCCACAGGGCUCUGGCUAUGAGCAGGGGGUCUGCUGGAGGACACUCUGAUCCAGGGGGCCCUGAUUAGCCCAUGGGUGUGCAAAGUGUUUCAGCACGUGUAUUUCAGCACGGGCUGUGGGUGGGCGCUCUACUGCACAGCUCUAGUGUCUUUAUGACCCUGUUCCCCAUUUUCCCCGUGUUCCCUCUCUCACAUGCUGGAGACUAAACUGUGAGCCCAGAAGGAAAUAUUUCCAUUAAGAGUUGUACAGGCUGCAGGGGCAGAGCACGGCAGCUGGGGACUGAAUCUUGGCCUUUGGAACCAGGUUGCUAUAAACGUGCAACUGUGCCAGGCCCUGGGGAUUUGGGUCUCUCUCUGCCUCUCCAAUCUCCUUCCAGACUCACCAGGCUGUUACUCAGCUGUGGGAGAAGCUGCUGUCCCUGUGAGAGAGCUGCUGGGGGGUGGGGUUGGGGGAGCUGGCAUUGAGGGGCCAUUGAGAGAAAGCAUUUUGACAUUUAACAAACACUAUGCAAAUUGCAUGCAAAUCACCACUCAUUCCUUAAGGCAGACGGACAACCUUAGCGUGUUCAGAAAUAAUAAUGUAGGGCCUGUCCCUUGGUCCCCAUCUUGGCGGGCUUUCCUCUCCCUUCCCUCCUUCCCUCCCUCCCUUUGCUCCCUCCUUCCCUCCCUCCCUUCCCUUCUUUGAUCCAAGACCUCCUAGCCCUGAAGUGGAUGUAAAACAGCCCAAUUGGCUGCCUGCACCCUGUUUUCCAGACCAGAGAACCGAGGCCGGAGGUCCCAGAGCCACAGUGUGGAAAGCAUGUGCCCCUCCCCAACAGCCCAGGGGAGCUGUGGGGUCAAAGGUCAGGCUGCUGAGCAUGGGCCACCCACAAGCUCACCCUGUUCUCUGCAUCCUGAAAUCUCCCUGAAUUUUGGCCACAGGCCCAUCAGUUUUUUUUCCACCCCACCCUUUUAUUGUUUUUUUAUAAACUCCUAUUUAUUCUACAAAAGCCUACCUUCAGUGCCCCAUUUAUACACAACCAUUCCUUAGACUCCAGUAGUAGCCUCCAGUUUUCCAGGCUCCUGCUAUCUAUUCCAGCACUAUGCUCCUGUCUUAGGCCUGAGUCAUGAACCCAGGUUAGGUUUGAGGUUCUUCCCUCUCUGUGAACUCAGUUCAGAAGACCCCAGGUCAUUCAUUACUCUGGGCUCUAGGUACAGAGGUGCCACUUUUGAAUGUGUAUCAAAUAAAAGACUGAAAACAGCAGG